rnacentral:rRNA from 1 species
UACACUCCUGCGGGAGGCAGCAGUGGGGAAUAUUGGACAAUGGGCGAAAGCCUGAUCCAGCAAUGCCGCGUGAGUGAUGAAGGCCUUAGGGUUGUACAGCUCUUUUACCCGGGAUGAUAAUGACAGUACCGGGAGAAUAAGCCCCGGCUAACUCCGUGCCAGCAGCCGCGGUAAUACGGAGGGGGCUAGCGUUGUUCGGAAUUACUGGGCGUAAAGCGCGCGUAGGCGGCUUUGUAAGUUAGAGGUGAAAGCCCGGAGCUCAACUUCGGAAUUGCCUUUAAGACUGCAUCGCUAGAAUCGUGGAGAGGUGAGUGGAAUUCCGAGUGUAGAGGUGAAAUUCGUAGAUAUUCGGAAGAACACCAGUGGCGAAGGCGACUCACUGGACACGUAUUGACGCUGAGGUGCGAAAGCGUGGGGAGCAAACAGGAUUAGAAACCCUAGUAGUCCCA